rnacentral:tRNA from 1 species
GGCUUUGUGGUGUAGUGGUCAGCAUACUCGACGCAUAACCGAGAGGUCCGUCAUUCGAUUCCCGGCGAAGCCG